rnacentral:rRNA from 1 species
AUUGAACGCUGGCGGCAGGCUUAACACAUGCAAGUCGAGCGAGCGGCGGACGGGUGAGUAAUGUCUGGGAAACUGCCUGAUGGAGGGGGCUAACUACUGGAAACGGUAGCUAAUCCCGCAUCCCAUCAGAUGUGCCCACAUGGGAUUAGCUAGUAGGUGGGGUAAUGGCUCACCUAGGCGACGAGCCCUAGCUGGGCUGAGAGGAUGACCAGCCACACUGGAACUGAGACACGGGCCAGACUCCUACGGGAGGCAGCAGUGGGGAAUAUGGCACAAUGGGCGCAAGCCUGAUGCAGCAAUGCCGCGUGUGUGAAGAAGGCCUUCGGGUUGGAAAGCACUUUCAGCGAGGAGGCGUUACUCGCAGAAGAAGCACCGGCUAACUCCGUGCCAGCAGCCGCGGUAAUUC